GUGCUUGUUUCUGCAGCACAUAUACUAAAAUUGGAACCAUAACAGAAGAUUAGCAUGACCCCUGUGUAAGGAUGACAUGCAAAUUCAUGAAGUGUUCCAUAUUUUU
rnacentral:snRNA from 1 species